CCCCUUUUCUGUUUACCCUCAAACCCAAACACGAACAGAACACACACUAAACACAGCGGCCGCUCCAGAUCAGUCCUACCACUCAUCCAAUCGUCACAAAAGCACUUGCCAGAGCCACUCCAGCCUCAACGGCUCAGUCACGUAGCCCCUCCGGCCUUCCCUCAGUCCCUCACUUACUCACUCUCUUCGGCCCUUCACUCCUCCAGACAGAGAACGAUGACGGUGCUUAUGGAGGUGUUGAUGAUGAUGAUGAAAUGAAAGAGGUAGCACGAUGCCUAGAUACACACUUUAGACGUUAGAUUUAAAUAUGUUGUAUCGAAUUUUGGUUAUGUUGGUUUGUUAUUUUGAUUAAACUUGUUGUUAUUUGGGAUCUUGUAUU
rnacentral:lncRNA from 1 species